rnacentral:ncRNA from 1 species
UCCAUCGUGAGGUGGAAUCUGAAGGAAGCCUGCGGCAAAGUUCCGGUCCGAGGAACACGAACAUCAUAUAAGGCAUAGCUGAUCUGGAUGAGCUUGCCAUACAAAGCGAAGUCCUAAAGCUAUACGGAGAUCAGGGUGUAGAUGAUGCGGAUAUAUGGAAUGAAAGUGAUAUGU